rnacentral:rRNA from 1 species
CACGUAGGGUGCGAGCGUUGUCCGGAAUUAUUGGGCGUAAAGAGCUCGUAGGCGGUGUGUCGCGUCGGCCGUGAAAACCUGCAGCUUAACUGUGGGCUUGCGGUCGAUACGGGCAUCACUGGAGUUCGGCAGGGGAGACUGGAAUUCCUGGUGUAGCGGUGAAAUGCGCAGAUGUCAGGAGGAACACCGGUGGCGAAGGCGGGUCUCUGGGCAGUAACUGACGCUGGAGGAGCGAAAGCGUGGGAGCGAACGG